GUUGAACGCUGGCGGCAUGCCUUACACAUGCAAGUCGAACGGCAGCACGGGAGCAAUCCUGGUGGCGAGUGGCGAACGGGUGAGUAAAGUAUCGGAACGUGCCCAGUCGUGGGGGACAACGUAGCGAAAGUUACGCUAAUACCGCAUACGAUCUAUGGAUGAAAGCGGGGGAUCGCAAGACCUCGCGCGAUUGGAGCGGCCGAUAUCAGAUUAGGUAGUUGGUGGGGUAAAGGCUCACCAAGCCGACGAUCUGUAGCUGGUCUGAGAGGACGACCAGCCACACUGGGACUGAGACACGGCCCAGACUCCUACGGGAGGCAGCAGUGGGGAAUUUUGGACAAUGGGCGAAAGCCUGAUCCAGCCAUGCCGCGUGCAGGAUGAAGGCCUUCGGGUUGUAAACUGCUUUUGUACGGAACGAAAAGGUUUGGCCUAAUAAGCUGAGCUCAUGACGGUACCGUAAGAAUAAGCACCGGCUAACUACGUGCCAGCAGCCGCAGUAA
rnacentral:rRNA from 1 species